AGCCCCCUUACUUCUUCAAGACCCUGCAUAAAAGUGCACAAAUAAGCACUUGAUUCAGAAUUUAGAACCUAACUAGAAGAAGAAGAAAUUGUUAGAUUAGUUUCAAUAACGAGUAAUUCAGACAUACCUUCAGAAGACCCAUCCUUCUUCCUGCUCUUGACAGUCGCUAGGUAGGCUGGACAGUUCCUUCUCAGUGGCCUUCGACGUUAUAAUGGAAACACUUUUCUUUGUCGUCAGUCUUCUUCGAAACCUAUUUCUUGGGUUUGGCCUCGUUCUUCUAUUUCUUCAUGAGCUUUUUUUUUCUUAAAAGAAGAUUUUUUUUUGGAGGAAGCUCGCUCUACAGCUAGAACUGUGCCCCUUGAACUCUUCAAGGUACCUUCUGUAGUCACCAGCAUAUUCAAUAACUCAGGCNNNNNNNNNNNNNNNNNNNNGCUAGAACUGUGCCCCUUGAACUCUUCAAGGUACCUUCUGUAGUCACCAGCAUAUUCAAUAACUCAGGCAAAGUGGCAUUGAUUUUAUUCAUAUGGUAGUUCAUGAUGAACUACCCAUAUAA
rnacentral:lncRNA from 1 species